AGCUCCAAUAAGGAAAACUAAAGUUGCUGUGUUUAAAAAGCUCGUAGUUGAAUUUCGGGUAUUUGUUGCUAGCUGGUCAUAAUGGCCAUGUUAGUUAACAGAUCCUCAUCUACUGGAUAGUUGUCGAUGAUCUUUAUCGAUUGUCGUCAAUUGCCAGAACGUUUACUUUGAGAAAAUUAGAGUGCUAAAAGCAGGCUCACGCCUAUAUAUAUUGCAUGGAAUAAUGAAAUAAGAUCUCGAUUUUAUUUCGUUGGUUUUAGAAAUUGAGAUAAUGAUUAAUAGGAUCAGAGGGGGGCGUACGUACUGUGGUGUGAGAGGUGAAAUUCUUGGAUCGCCACAGGACGAACAGCAGCGAAGGCGUUCGCCAAGAAUGUUUUCA
rnacentral:rRNA from 1 species